AGCAAUGGAAGGCGAAGCUGGAAGGUCAGGAUGGGAUCUGAUUUGGAAGAGCCCUGUAGAUCUAUCCUGAGGAGUUUGGCCUUUAUCUCAUAAGGGCUUUGUCUUAGCCUUGAUGGCAGUUUAAAAAUCAAAUGAAAUACUGAUUCCUGAGUGCAGUGUGAAGUGGAAAAGCUGCCACUAUUUGCAUUUAAUCUAUAAAGAAACUGACGCAUACAGAGAUUAAGGAAUAUGCGGAGGAGGAUAUCACAGCUGCUAAGUGGCAGAUCUGAGCCUGACAAGUCUACGCCACUGUUGCUUAUGGUACCUUUAACUGACUGGGCAUGAAGAGGAAGGGGAGGGGGAUUGUGCCUAGGGGGAGAGAGAAAACAAGUUCACUACAGCUGUGUACGUUAUUAUUUCACACAAAGUCUUGAAUGAAUUCCUUGCAUGUGGCAAUUCUCUAAAGAAUAUAUGUAUAUUUUCUGAAUAAACAGUAGUGAAAACCCAGAGGUAAAGAUGGGAAAUAAAAAUGACGGGGGUGUGCAGGCAUGACGUGCACAUGUGCCUACAUACACUGCUCUGCCCACCAAGGGUCUACUGCACAGGGCAUUAUUACCAAGAGAAUCAAAGGGAGGUAGUGAAUCACAUAUUCCCUGUUAUUAGGUUUAAGAAAAAAGUAAUGAGUAGGAAGAGAGGCAGCAGCAACUUUAGAAGCAGAACGUAAGGUGCAUUAGGGAACCAGUAGCAGGAGCAGAGUGAGAUGAACCGAAUAUACCUCUGAGAAUAACUAACAGUGUGUGCUGGGCAGCAGCUUAGGUGCCCUGAGAAAUCUGUUCUUCUAGAUUUUGCCAUGUGCCUCUGUGGCAGGCAAAAUAAUGGCCCCUCAAGGAUGCACAUGUACUAAGCCUUGGAAUUCUACAUGGCAACAGGGACUUCACAGAAGUGAUUAAAUGAAGGACCUUCAGAUGGAGAGAUUAUCCUGGACAACCCGGGUGGGACCAAUGUCAUCAUAAGCAUUCUUCAAAGUGGAAGAGGGAGGCAGAAGAGGAGGUCAGAGGGGUGCAGGGUGAGAAAUCCACCAACCAGAUCCUGCUAGUUUUGAAGAUGCAGGAAGGUGGGCAUGAACUAAGGAAUGCAGGCAGCCUCGAAAAGCUGGAAAAAGGCAAGAAAACAGAUUCUUUCCCAGAGCCCCCGGAAAAAAAAAUGAAGCUUUGCAGAUCCAUUUUAGACUUCCGACCUCCAGAAGAACUGUAAGGCCUGUAUAAUCUACUGUGAUUGUUUUGAAUAAAGGCAUUUGUUAAGAGAGGAGGAAAACAAGACAGAGAGCCUGCUCUUUGCCAGGGCCUUUUAAGAUUUUCUUACUGAACUUUCUCAAUCCUGAAACAAAUUUUGAGACUUCAGCUGUAAUUUAUGAAGCACUGAAGGGACUACAUCCAUCCGAGUGAUAGAAACUCCAGGCUGAAGCUGCUCAAGCAACCCUAACUCGUCUUAUGUAUCAAUAACCCCAGUACCUGGCACUGAGCAACAUCGAAAAUUGGAGAGAAUAAACUGUGGACAUAUAUUUUUAAAAUUUAGCUCACUAGGAUAAGAGAAUCUGAUUGCAGACUUUAUGUUCUUUGGACUUUAAUUUGUAAAGUGAUUGAAUAUUUGGACUUAAAUUUCUCUCCAGGAAUUUGAAAAUGGUAGGGAGUUUGUAUUCAAACUUAGGGCAUCUUUAUGUUGACAGUCUAUUAAAUAUCUUAACUUAAUCAGGUUGUUUGAUCUCUACAACCUGUUAUGCUGUCUUUUAGAAACAUGACUAUAUAUAAUUUGAAAUGGGGAAUAGGAAAUAGAUUUUGAGCCUUGGCUACAGUAUAGUCUUCGAGCUAAUUUCAUGGAUGUACAGGUGUCAUUAAUCUCAGAGCUUGUGAGGGGGAAAUCCACACUGUCUAUAGUGAUCCCAUGGUGACUGCCAAAGCAGCAUUAGUUGGCCCUGGGAGAAUGGCCUGUAGGAGUAAGACUGUCUUGACAGGUUGCUGAUCUCUUCUCCUGAGGGCAACAGCCACACUGCAGGAGGAAAACAAACAGCUGAGAGUGGUGGCCUAAAAAGGUGCUAGUCAGAUUUCCUGUGGAGGGGAGCACAGUUGACUCAAAACCCCAAAUGCCACCCCUCUGGAUCCAGCACCAUGUGCGGUGCUGCCAAAUUCUUCCAGGAUGGUCCCAGCCAACCAAUGCUGAGCCUGGUGGGAGUAGUGGUACAGGGUCCAUUCCUGCCUGAUGUGAAACUUUGCUGGCAGGUGAUUGGCUUGAGGACUUUCCAUUGGUCUUUUCAAAACUUUCUUAGAACUGCACCAUGCUACCCAAUCAUUGUUCCUUCCUUUAGCCUUCCCCACACCGCCUCCCACAGGUGCCAGACUUACCUCCUGGUCUGAGGCUGUCCUUACUUACUCAUGCUUCCUUCCUGUACCCUUCAUAGGC